UUAACACCAGUUGAUCCUGCUGGAGACUACUGCUUUUGGGGUCCGAUUAAGCCAUGCAAGUCAUCCUCUCUUCGGAGGGGAGGCGGAAAGCUCAGUAACACGUGGACAACCUGCCCUUGGGAGGGGGAUAAACCCGGGAAACUGGGGCUAAUACCCCAUAGAUGAGGACCUCUGGAAUGAACCUCACCUAAAUGAUUCGUCGCCCAAGGAUGGGUCUGCGGUGGAUUAGGUAGACGUUAGAGUAAUGAUCUAACGUGCCUACAAUCCGUACCGGCUAUGAGAGUAGGAGCCGGGAGAUGGAUACUGAGACAACGAUCCAGACCCUACGGGGUGCAGCAGGCGCGAAACCUCUGCAAUGCACGAAAGUGUGACAGGGGGACCCCAAGUGUCCAAGUACUGCUUGGACUUUUACGGAGUGUAAAAAGCUCCGGGAAUAAGGGCUGGGUAAGACCGGUGCCAGCCUCCGCGGUAAAACCGGCAGCUCUAGUGGUAGUCGCUUUUAUUGGGCUUAAAGCAUCCGUAGCCUGUUUGGAAAGUCCUCUGUGAAAUCCUACCGCUUAACGGUAAGACUGGCAAAGGAUACUUCCAGGCUUGGGGCCGGAAGAAGCUAGGGGCAUUUCUGGGGUAGCGGUGAAAUGUUAUAAUCCCAGAAAGGUCACCAAUGGCGAAGGCACCUAGCUAGGACGGGCCCGACGGUGAGGGAUGUAAGCUAGGGGAGCGAACGGGAUUAGAUACCCCGGUAGUCCUAGCCGUAAUGAAACUUAAAGGAAUUGGCGGGGGAGCACCACAAGGGGUGGAGUCUGCGGUUCAAUCGGAUACAACGCCGAGAAACUUACCAGGGGCGACGGCAGGAUGAUGGUCAAGCUGAUGACUUUACCUGACGAGCCGAGAGGUAGUGCAUGGCCGCCGUCAGCUCGUACCGUGAGACGUACCCUUAAGUGGGCUAACGAGCGAGACCCGUGCCUCUAUUUGCUAAUGCUCUUUUUUGAGGGUGUGCACUAUAGAGGGACCGCUGGCGAUGAGUCAGAGGAAGGUGCGGUCGACGGUAGGUCUGUAUGCUCCGAAUCUCCUGGGCUACACGUGGACUACAAUGGCAUGGACAAUGGGUUGCGAGCGAUGAAUAUGUCCCCGCUCCUUGCACACACCGCCCGUCAAACCAACCGAGUGAAUUUGGGAUAAGGUUCUCCCUACGGGAAAAUCGAAUUCUAGGUUCGCGAGGGGGGUUAAGUCGUAACAAGGUAGCUGUAGGGGGAUCUGCAGCUGGAUCACCUCCA
rnacentral:rRNA from 1 species